UGGAAGUAAAAGUCGUAACAAGGUCUCCGUUGGUGAACCAGCGGAGGGAUCAUUACCGAGUUUACAACUCCCAAACCCAAUGUGAACGUUACCAAACUGUUGCCUCGGCGGGGUCACGCCCCGGGUGCGUCGCAGCCCCGGAACCAGGCGCCCGCCGGAGGGACCAACCAAACUCUUUCUGUAGUCCCCUCGCGGACGUUAUUCUUACAGCUCUGAGCAAAAAAUUCAAAUGAAUCAAAACUUUCAACAACGGAUCUCUUGGUUCUGGCAUCGAUGAAGAACGCAGCGAAAUGCGAUAAGUAAUGUGAAUUGCAGAAUUCAGUGAAUCAUCGAAUCUUUGAACGCACAUUGCGCCCGCCAGUAUUCUGGCGGGCAUGCCUGUCCGAGCGUCAUUUCAACCCUCGAACCCCCCUAGGGGGGUCCGGCGUUGGGGAUCGGGGACCCCUAAGACGGGAUCCCGGCCCCGAAAUACAGUGGCGGUCUCGCCGCAGCCUCUCCUGCGCAGUAGUUUGCACAACUCGCACCGGGAGCGCGGCGCGUCCACGUCCGUAAAACACCCAACUUUCUGAAAUGUUGACCUCGGAUCAGGUAGGAAUACCCGCUGAACUUAAGCAUAUCAAUAAGCGAAGAA
rnacentral:rRNA from 1 species